CCAGCAGCCGCGGUAAUACGGAGGGUGCAAGCGUUGUUUGGAGUUACUGGGCGUAAAGGGUGUGUAGGCGGUUCUCUAAGUUUGGUGUGAAAUCUCCCGGCUCAACUGGGAGGGUGCGCCGGAAACUGCCGGACUCGAGUGCGGGAGAGGAGAGUGGAAUUCCUGGUGUAGCGGUGAAAUGCGUAGAUAUCAGGAGGAACACCGGUGGUGUAGACGGCUCUCUGGACCGUAACUGACGCUGAAACACGAAAGCGUGGGUAGCAAACAGGAUUAGAUACCCUGGUA
rnacentral:rRNA from 1 species